GGAAACUAUAAGCAGGUCUGAACAUGUUUCAAAGCUUGCAGGCAGAGGUUUUUGUGUAAUAAACUGCCAAAUUCUAUCAAGAAAACACUGACUUCAAAUGUGGAUGGCAAACUGAUGUCUGGAGAGGGGAAAGCAUUGAGCCAGAUUGACAAAGCAAGGUGGCUGCAUCUUAAAAAAUGGAUGCUGAUGCCAAAGACAAACAGCAAUUUCCAUGGAAGAAACACAAGGACAGAAGAAAAGGAAAAGCAAGACAAAAUAAAAGGAGAGCAUACAUCAGAUGAUAAAAAAAUGUUCAUAUCUGCUCUCGGAACAAAGUCCUUUCCUUCUUGCCCUCUUCCCAGCCCCGAC
rnacentral:lncRNA from 1 species